CGCAAAGAAGACGAAUGAAGAAAUAAGAGCUAGCUGUUUCUUCGGCGGUGACGAUGCACGUUUGAACUAUAAAUGUGGUACAGCUCGAUUUUGCCGAACAGCGUCGAAGAAUACUUACAAUCAUGAUGAAGAUCGUAUGAAGAAAAUUUGGAGUUUAUUCGGCGGCGGUGCACCACUCCGUAUACACUGUAGAUUGGUACAACUCGGUUUCCCGGGAAGAGUCGACGCUUAAAUCUUGCCAUAAUAUCGGAAAAACAAAAAAACUGAAAUAAUUACGCUAUAUCCUUAUAUAAUGUCAACCCGGAGGACAAUUGGCAGUAUCAUUAGGAAGCUGAUGAAUAACAAAAAAAAGUGUCGCAGGGCCGUGUUUGUUUAAUACUAUAAUUUUUUGAACAGUAGUACAGUAUAUUAUGAAUAUUUACUUAAAUUAUAUUUAAUUUUUAUGGUUUUUUUCAGAUAAUAUACUGUACUACGGUUUUAGGUGUUCUUUUUAUUUUAAAAAUACAUUGAAAAAUUACCAAUUUUUUCAAUUUUUUUUCUUAUCACAAAGCAAGUUCGUUUUUGUGUAUGUUUAAAUUUAUAUUUUUUAUAGUUAUUGUGCUGUUUAACUUUCUUAUAAAAGAGAGUGAGAAAUUAAAAAGGUGGCCACCGAACAGAAAGUUAAACUGCAAUAUACUAUAAUUUUUUUAGUUCUUGUUUACAUUUUUAACUGAUAAAUUAUGAAUAUAAAAUUUAAUUUAAAUUCAAAAAUAAAAGAACACCAACAUAGAUAUCUUAAACAUUGAAAUUUUACUAUAAGUUUAAAUUACAUUUAAUCUGCACAUUAUUUGAAGUUUUAUAGGAUCGGAACAUUUAACUGGAUCAUGGACGACUAUCCACCGACGAAGAAUUUGUCAUAGAGCUGAUGGAAAAUGUGUCGGCACUCGGCUUCGUUUCAACACGGAGGACGUCUGGCAGCAGCAAAAAGAUAUUCAAUUGACGAUAAUCAACUGUCGAAAGG